rfam:Triticum aestivum genome assembly, contig: Triticum_aestivum_CS42_TGACv1_scaffold_577762_7BL
UAGUUACUCCCUCCGUCCAGAAAUACUUGUCCUAAAAAUGGAGAAAAUGAAUGUAUCUAUAACUAAAAUAAGUCUAGAUACAUCCAUUUCUAGGACAAGUAUUUCCGGACGGAGGGAGUAUCAG